GAACCUGAGCCGAAGGCAGACGCUUAAUUGACUGAGCCACCAGGCGUCCCUGUGGGAAAGAUUUUUAAUUUGUGAGUCUCCUGAAUCAGAGUAGGUUAAGAUAUUUGGUUUUUUGGUAUGUACAUAAUAUUAGGGGGGAAAGGGAUUUUAAAGAACCAGUGUUUCGUGGAAAAACAGGAAGGGCCUGCUCACUUUGCCCCUUUCCAACGUGAUAUCUCUCAAGAUAAAGUACUGUAAAUCAAGUUGAUGAAGCAGUUCACAACCAAGGCCUCUAUUGGAAGAUACAAGAGAAUUCAGGUGCAAUUUCUGAGUCCAGCUACUUUUUGACAGGGAACUGCCCUCCAGGAUACCGCUCCAAACUCCUCACCCUUGGGUGGUAAUAUACCUAUAAAAGACUACACUCUCCAACUUCCCUAGGUGCGGUCAGUGGGUCACGUGGAAGUCAGUUGGGUGGGACUUAACAAGAAAUCUCUAGAGAGAUCUGACUCAGCUAGAAGGAUUGCCCUUUUACCCCUUCUCUUCUUCCUGCCUAGAAACUAGAUAAGAUGGCCAAACCCUGGCAGCCAUUUUUGACUAUGUUGCAUCAUUGAAGAUGGAAGCCAUAUACCUUAGGAUGGUGGAGCAGAAAGAUAGAGAGGGAACUAGCACAUUGGUGAUGUGGUCAAAGUGCCAUACUAACCCAGACUUCUUUAAUAGUUUAAUAAACUUCCUUUUUAUUUAA